GAUCUCUCCAAAAUUACCAAAAGCAUAGAAAAAGGGUCUUUUCCCCAGGUCUCCUUCAAUUAUCUCAAAAAUGCCUUGUUAGCAGCAACAGUUCAUCUACCCAAAUCUAAUGCCUUCCUGCUUUUUCAUAGGCAAUUUAACAUAGUGUAACAAAAACAUCAGUGGAUCACAAGUCAAGAUUUAUGGGACUGCCAAGUGAUAUUGUGAGUAAGAUUGAGAUAAGGCUUUAAUAAGCCCGCCCAUUCAUACAGUAAAUCAGUCCUCAGAUGAGACGUAUUCUCAUGACCAGUGGCCAGUAUUACUACUAUUUCCUUUCUCUGGCAUCUGGUGACCACCUCCUGCCCACUGUUUUCCUUUCCCACAAAACCAAGGCUUGCUUCUCAACCCCUCGCUUGGCUUCCUGCAGUUUCCUGAGGUGUACUUCCCAGGCUAUCCAUUUCAGAGCUCCCAUCUCUCCUCAGUUCAGUUGUUAGGCUUUGCUCUUUCUCAAGAACUGCCACUGCUGGUUCUCCACAACUCCCUGCCUUUCUACUGCCUUCCCCUCAGCUGCGAUGGCCCCAGCUUUCACAUCCCACUCAGUGUUUUACCAAAUGAGUCAUCACUCGCAUUUUUCUGCUUGUGUCACUUACCCUUGAAAAAGCUUAGCUUGAAGUUCUCAUUGAUGAACCAUUAAGGACCAAGCCUGUUGCUCCAGAUCCCAUGCUCCAAAUGCUGCAGAAACUGACAAGAACUGUGGUACUACACUUUCAGUCAAGAGCUCCCUGAUGUGUCCAAUAUGCAAUAUGGGCUUCCCUGGUGGCUCAGUGAUAAAGAACCCGCCUGCCAAUGCAGGCGAUGUGGAUUUUAUCAUUGCAUCUGGAAGAUCCCCUGAAGAAGGAAAUGGCAACCCACUCCAGUAUUCUUGCCUGGGACAGAGGAGCCUGGCAGGCUACAAUCCUUGGGUGAGUUGCAAAAGAGUCCGACAUGACUUAGCAACUAAACAACAACAGACGACAAUAUACACCAUGUACAAUUCUUUGAAGUUGUGACCUCAAAUGUGCUACUUAUAAGGAUUUAAGAGUAGACAAUCUGGUUGUAUCUAAGGUCCUGCAGCUCAAAGUUCUUAUUGAUAAACAUCAACAGCAGCAUCUGAGAGUUUGGUGAAAAUCCAAAGUCUCAUGUGCCUUCCCAGAUCUACUGAAUCAGAAUCUGCAUUUUAACAAGAUUCCCAAGGGAUUCACAUUCGCAGUGAAGAUUAAAAAGCACUGCUCCAGAGGGCUCAUCUUUUGCUUAUGCCCUGUAACAAUUUUUUUUUAACUUUUUAUUUU
ensembl:lncRNA